rnacentral:tRNA from 1 species
GCCCGGUUAGCUCAGUCGGUAAAGCAUGAGACUCUUAAUCUCAGGGUCCCUGGUUCGAGACCCACGUUGGGCG